rnacentral:lncRNA from 1 species
UUUGAUGUUUUCAAAGAUGCUCAGAACCGGGAAAUCUUCAUGAAUGCAGAUUCACCAACACGUCUGAUUUGGAUAAGGAAGAAAUGGUUAGUUUUUUAGUUGUCUUUGAGUUUGCUGACAUCUUUUAAUUACUUUCAAGAACUCACUAGAAAACUUUUGCUUUGAACCAGUAUGCAGACAUGAGGGAAACAAUACUGAGUUUUGAGUGAGAGGUUAGUCUUUGUUUUUAUCCAGUAAGAGCUUAGACAGUUAAGACAUUAUUUUUAUGAAUUAUUGUGAGAUGUUUAACCACUGAAUUUCUAAGCUAUCCAAAUCCAAAUAGUUCAUAUAUUGUUGAUAGCAGUAGGUUGAGA